GACGAACGCUGGCGGCGUGCUUAACACAUGCAAGUCGAACGGAAAGGCCCUGCUUUUGUGGGGUGCUCGAGUGGCGAACGGGUGAGUAACACGUGAGUAACCUGCCCUUGACUUUGGGAUAACUUCAGGAAACUGGAGCUAAUACCGGAUAGGAGCUCCUGCUGCAUGGUGGGGGUUGGAAAGUUUCGGCGGUUGGGGAUGGACUCGCGGCUUAUCAGCUUGUUGGUGGGGUAGUGGCUUACCAAGGCUUUGACGGGUAGCCGGCCUGAGAGGGUGACCGGCCACAUUGGGACUGAGAUACGGCCCAGACUCUUACGGGAGGCAGCAGUGGGGAAUAUUGCACAAUGGGCGGAAGCCUGAUGCAGCAACGCCGCGUGCGGGAUGACGGCCUUCGGGUUGUAAACCGCUUUCGCCUGUGACGAAGCGUGAGUGACGGUAAUGGGUAAAGAAGCACCGGCUAACUACGUG
rnacentral:rRNA from 1 species